UGAGCUUUCAGGGUUAAUGCUGGUGAUGAAUUAUCCAGACAAAGAAGGAAAUCUUGGGAAAGUGGGCUCACGGAGUGAAGCAUGGAUAGUAUUAUAGGUAAAGGACACUGCAGAAGCAAAGACACACAGGAAAGAAACCACAUAGCUUGGGUAGAGAUUAUAAUUAGUCUUACAUCGCUGGAGCAUAAAAUAGGCAGAUGAGAGUGAAACAAGAUGGAGCUAGAAAAAUAAGUCUGGGUCAUAUUCAGGGGUUGUAUUGGAAAUCAUUGACAGGAGAUGCAGUGUGGGUACCAGGCUUCAGAACAGACACUGGUCCAGGAGACACCCAAUGAUGACAAGUGUUAUUACCUUUUUAGAGGCUUGGUUAUGGGAGAAAGUCUGGGGAGCUUGGUGGUGGAGCUGGAUUAGAUGGAAUGGGAUCCUGAGAUGAAGGGGAGGAGUUGGACAGCAUCCUAGACAAUUCAUCUAGAGUAACCAGAAAGAAUGCAGAGUCUAUACACCCAUAGGGAGAUGUGGUCUGGAGCUAAUGGAAACUCUUUUAAUUGCUUCUCUUUCCACAGUGAAAUAUGAAGCCUGGUCUCCAGCUGAGAAUGAGGAUGGAGUAGGAGAAGCUGGUGGUUUUUUGAGGGACAAGAAGUGGGAACUGGCCAGGGAAAGCCGACACCCUGCAAAACACACCCAUCUCCUGCUUCCCUAGGCCAGAAAAGAUGACCUCUGGCCUCUCUUUGCAAACUUUAGUUACAGAGUUGGGAGGAAGAGAUUCAUGACCACCAAGAAAGGUGAGUUACUCACAUAUUUAUAGAUAUAAUACUCUUCUUAUGUUCCUUUUUUCCCCAAUCUUCAAUAAAUCAUCUGAAAUAUAAAAAGACUUCUGUGCAGCCUGAUGGAAUAAACACUUCUGGAAUAAAUUUUCUUUCUCCAUUUCUCCAACAUCUUUCUUAUGACAUUUCUUUUUCCACAAUUUAUCAGUCCUUGUCUGAACACUUGACCCUAACUAGCCAAUGAGUCCUUUCCCUGUAGUUUUGGAAUUAGGAAGGUAGAGAAGUCUAGCAAUCCUCCCAAGAGGUAGAUACUGUAAGAUAUAAAACUUGGACGUAUCAUGCCCACUGCACCCCAUGCUUUCAGUGUUGUGGACAAAACAGAAUGAAAUUCCCGUGUGAAGCCCAGACAAGAGUAAGAGAGAAAAAAAGAGAGAGCUCUGACAUAUUUUCUUAUCUACUUGUUUUCUUGUCUAGUGACUACUAACAUCCUUGUUCUUCCCAUAAUUUGGUUGUUAAAUAAUCUCUUUGAUUUAAUGAGCAACAUUAAUUCCCUUUAAAUAUUCAUUCAAGUUAUAAUACUGUCAUUGCAGCCAAAAGGGCCAACUAAUAUAACAUUAAAAUUCUUCCAGUAGGAAAAUGUCUUUUAUCUAUGAUUAGAUUUUUCUACAAUGCAACAUUUGGAACCAUCAGGAUGGGCAGAUUUGACCUCAAUGAGAAA
rnacentral:lncRNA from 1 species